AUAUACAGAGAGUCCAUUUGAAACAAAAUCUACGUUUUACUUUGUUUAUAAUUGUGGGCAAACACAUAUGGUAACAAAUCUAAUCCCCUUUAGCAGCAAAAAAUAGUGGAUUGUUAUGUACAAUGAGAUGUAUAUACACAUAAUUUGGUAGCACAAAGUCCCAAUGAAAAUCAUGGCCCGUUGAAAAUCUUUCCAUUUUUCAGCAACUCCGUGCUUUAGAAACUACACCCAACAAGAAUUUAGAUCUUUAGUCACAUUGGAAACCAUAUAACCUUAGUUAUGUUGUUUGCAGAGACAUAAAUGUUCCAGGCAACAAGGGACUUUUAAUAGAAUCAUCAUCAGCUCUCAAAACCUGGGAGAUGACAACAAACACAAUUGUCAAUGCUUCAUUGCUAAGUUUAGUUUACAGAACAAGCGUACAAAAUCAAGCAAUAGGCUGCCUCUUCUGACACACAUAAAGCAGAUAAAUAAUCUACAAACCAUGCCCUUGCUUAGGCUGGAGCUUCAUUCGUAGAAGAGAUGCCUAUAGAACAAAAACAGGGUCGUCGGCCUUGAUGCUCUUUCUAGGUGGAAUGUGCCAUCAUGGAGAAACUUCUAAAAAAACAAUAGAGAACGGAUGGCCCAAGAGUUCAGAUAGUUUCCUAAAAAAUAGAGCAUAAUAAAUAAUAAAGAACCAUAUGUUCACUUGUUCAGGAUGUUUUCGGUCAUACAGACCACAUUUCUGGUUGCUUUCCCACUAUACCUUAACAAGUUCUCUGAUCACAGCUACACGACCAUGUGUCAUAAAAAUACCGGUUUUGUAGAGAACUUGUCGCCAAAUGGUGUAUCAUUAUCAAGAAAAUUUGGAUGAAGGACUGCCAAUUCAGCACAUGUGUUUAAUCUUAUCGAAGUGUUUGAACCACCCAAAGCAUCUCAUACUAAUUCCUUGUCUUCAAAUAUCAUUAUGGAUGGAGAAGAAAAAAACAAUUGAUUAACCUAAUACGUGGUGCACUUGCUACUGAAUAUUAAAAUGAGUACACAUCAAUUAAGCUAAAGAAUUUGCAAAGAAAGCCUACCACACGGGACAAAUUCUUCAAUGAACUGAAAUUGCUCUUUACAAUGGUGAUUCAACUAAUACCACUAUUUUCUACGUACAAUAAGUUGUUAAUUAUUUUAUUUUAAAACAUAGAGGAUUUUUUGAUCUAUUGGUGCAUAUGCUUUAUGUCUUUCAGAUUCCACCAAGAUUAUGUUAGGACUGGAGUUACAGGUAAGCUGUAGUCUGUAGUCUAUAAUAGGUCUGUAAGAGGCACAACGAUGAAACAUUAUUUUUCAAGGGAAGUUGUUCAAUGAAAGGAAUAAACUAUUUGAACCUAGCUACAGACCCAUAUCAAUCUCUAUAGGCGGGAUUUGGGAUGAAGAUUGAGAGAGUUGAGGAGAGGGAGAAACAUACCUAGUACAAAUUCCAUUGCAUCCUUCUUUCAUUUCCCUCGUCACCGAUAAGCAUCCUAUUGACAUUAGGUGCGAAGUUACCUGUUGAAUAUCCAUGAGGAAUAGCAGCAACAAGAAAACCCUAAAAUUGUAUUUAAAUAGCUCAGCUAACUAACCAUGGUGUAGCAAAAAUAAAAUGGCCAUAUCUAAGCAAGAAGUUUCGGCCAAAAACUAAUGCAGCAUUGCAGCAUGGUACGCGAAAAUGCAUCAUAAGAAUAAUUAGUUAGUUCCUAAUAAAUGGACACUUUCCACUUUUCCCAACCUGAUUAUAUUUUUUCGCAUUUGACUAUACUGUUCUAAGUAACCUAACACAGAGAGCAACAAAAAGUACCAUGGCAUGAAUGAUACACAAACUAACAAACCUAGAAUAAGCAAUCAAUUGGCCUAAGCAUAUGUAUUAAAGUAGGAAGGGAUGGGAAAUGGCAGCCCAUGUGAACUAAUUACCUGGUUGGAAGCCAUUGCAGAAUGUCAGGUGAAGAAUUACCAUGGCCAAUAUACAAGAAACAGAUUUCAAGAGUUCCCCAAAUCAAUUCACCAGAACCAAGAUGGACACUACAUGUACAAAGUUGAGAUUUGAAAGACACUAACACAAUAAAAUCAUUGUGUUGAAGGAGGAUUUUAGGUGGAAAAAAUGCAGGAAAACAUUGUGCUAAUCUCUGCAAUAUCUUCUUAUUAUUAAAUUUAUCACACUUCAUUAGAACAUUAGUUUGUAUCAAGACAAAUAGAUGUCGAGUCUGUACUGCAGCAAAAACAUAAGUGCUCACAAAUUACAGAGCAAAUAAUAGUAGUACCAAAUAUGCUAACAUGUUGACUUCAUGUAGUACCACACUAUUAAUACCUGAAAAUGGCACACAUGUUUUUAGAGGAACAUAAUCUACACAAUGAGCAAAAGUAACUUUUUUAUGCUGGUAUAUGCUAGGCUGCAACAUAAAUUUAAGAAGCUGAUAUGCUGCAGUAUACUGUACUUGAUAAUCUGAAUAGUCCAGCAUAACUAGUCUACACUACUAUUAAACAAUCAAACAAGAACUUUCUUAGGUGCACCCCGCAAUUAGUCCCACAACAUCAUAUAAACCAAUCAACACCACACGAUUAGGCCCACAAUUCUCAAUCUAACAGCCAUAAUUAAUCUAACCUUUUUAUGGUGUGCACUUAGCAUUUUUUGUUGACUGACCGUGCUUCACCAGGGGAAUAGUACUAAAACAACCGGUCCCUACAAUCACGGAAGUCCGAUAGCAAACCAAGGAAAUUCCACGCCCUAAACCUUGACCUCACCGUCUGUCACGGCGGCAACCUCGUGCCAGACGCCGCCCACCAACAACGUCUCCUCCAUGCAUGACGACCUCGCCGCACUGCACCGCUCCGUCGCCUCUGCGCAUGAUCGCCAUCGCCGAUUGUUGCCCCUCACAGCGUGGCAUCGGUCCUGUCAUAUCCAGGAGAUAGAGCCUGCACUGGCACCCGUUCGGCCGCGCCCACGUCUGCACUGCCCCGGCGCCUGCGCCGCCGCAUCCCCUGAGCCAGCCGCGGCCGUGCUUGCGCCGCCGCCAGCCGAGGCGAGACCGCCCGCCCCUCCUACCCAUGCGACGUUGCUGCUCCCUCCUGCCCCAAGAGCGCACAUCUCCAAGCGGCCUUUGCCGGAGGGACGACGCACCAGGCGCAUCGGGCCGGGGCAUCCCGGCAUCGCCUCCGUCCUUCGCUUCGCCUCAUCGAUGCUGGUACAGGUUAUCUCCUCCGACUGCAUACCCAACAUGCUGGCCAUCUCCUACCUCCAACCGUGCUCCCCAUCGUCUCCCUUCUUGAUCCCAUCUGACCCUGAAAACUUUUGCAGGCCUUGAUCUCACUCCGCCCCGUAGCUUCAAAGAUCUUGACAGAAAAAGGAUAUGGUGGCGUUGUGCCGACUGUCUGCUCUUCUCUUUCCUAGCGUAAGGGACCUCAAGAUCUGGCACCGGGAGCUUUCUUCGUCCGCAUUCGUACUUUAUGUAUGGGAAAGCUAUCUUCCGGGUAGCAGCAGUUGGACUUCAUUUGUGAUUAAGGAUGAUAGCUACUGAAGUGAGUAAAUUAUCCUUUCAAAGUUGAUUUUUAUGCCUACUGUUUCUGUAUAUUCAGUGUAACGACAAACAAACAUGCUGACUGCUAAAGUUCUUGCAGGUGUGAUUGCUUUGAUUAGAGAAGGCACUGAUAUAACACGAGAGAUUAUUUCUGUAACACUUGAUCUUGGGUCUGCACUUGCUAACAGAGAUGCAGACAAAACAAAGCCACGAGCCUUUGUACUGAAUGUACACAUACUCUGCAGAUCAACACCCAUCUUUUAAGAGGUCUGUACUAUCCAGUGCAGUUUAUUUACAUGUCUUGGAUUCUGAAUGUAUAGUUCAGUUUCAUGAUUUAACCUUUCAAGUUAUUGGUGUCCGCACAUGAUUUUAACAUAUCCAAUUUUCUUUCAAGUUAUUGGGAUGUUGCUUUGACAGUUGUCAUGUACUGCUUAUUAUUUUUUUGCACUAUAGUCUCACAAUUCUGAAUUUAAUCUUUUUAGUUGACUAGCAUCAUAUUUCUUGAUUGUGACCUCAUGCUUAAAUAGUUAAAUUUGGUAGGUUGUAGAAAUUCGAAUUCACUAUCUCUCAGAAUUAGUAUAUAUUCUGUGGGGGUCACUGAAUUCUUUUUCUUUUCCUGGAAUUUGCGGCUUACAUUGCUAAUAUUUGAUCCUCGGUAGCAAUGCUCUUUUCCUUCCAUGUCGGUCAUGCCAAAAAAGCAUUGAGAUGAGUAUUUGAUCCUCCAUUAAUCAUCUAUGUCCUUACUGAAACUGAAUGCCGUUUUUUCUGGCUCAAGGGCGAGUCUGCACCAAUUCGCCAUGCUCAUNNNNNNNNNNNNNNNNNNNNNNNNNNNNNNNNNNNNNNNNNNNNNNNNNNNNNNNNNNNNNNNNNNNNNNNNNNNNNNNNNNNNNNNNNNNNNNNNNNNNNNNNNNNNNNNNNNNNNNNNNNNNNNNNNNNNNNNNNNNNNNNNNNNNNNCGAUGGCCAAACAUAUCUUGCAGGUUAAUUCACUUUUGAAUUUUUUACGGGCUUUAAGACUAACUUAUCCUUAUUCAAUUGCACAAUUUUCAAACCAUAUUAAAAUGUUAGUUAACAGGUUCAUUGUGCAUUAUUUGGAAUCAUGGUAUCAUUUUAGGAUAGAUUUAUGUUCUGUCAUACUAUAUGUAGCCAAUUGGUAUGAUUCUUUUUAAGUCGAAAGUAAUGGUGUGUAGCUAGAAGAAAAUACAUACGUUAUGUUCUAAAUAUUUGAUUCCCUUUUUAGAAUCAAGUACAUGUCAUUUGGAGAGCAUACCUUGUUUAUAUAUUUUAUUUGUAUAGAACUAGAUCUUUGGAUAUCUGACUACACUUGAUACAGACUUGAUCCUGGUGCGACUUUUUGCCCAGGAUAAUAAACCUAUGUUGUUCUUGUGCGGUUGCAGGGGAAUCAUGUACCGGUAUAAUAAAUUAUCCCAAAUGAUAUUUCACUGACAAGCGCCAUAUAAAUUGAAGUCAAAUUAGGCAUCUACUAUGUUGCAGAGGUUAAUCUUAUCUCAGUGUUCCCUGGAUAUUUCUUUUCUUGUGGCCUCUAUUGCAGUGUGCACCGCUGCAAGAAUGAAAUUAAUUUAUUCUAAAUAAAUGCUAUAAUAAGUAUUUCAGAACAUUUUUUCUGCUGUUAGGUUUAAUAUUCUAUUCCAUUUCCAAUGGAUAAAAAUGUUUGAGGCUACUUCCAUAUUUAUCCCUUGUUUCUUAUGGUCUAAUGUGUUAGACAAUUUUUCUUUUAGAUUUACCUCUCCUGUUUGUGCAGUAGGUACAAGGUCUCACCUUGUUGAAGGCUACUUCCGAUUCUUCUAUUUUAAUUUUGAUUUUGUUAAUGUACAUUUUCUACCUAAUAAGGACUUGAGGUGACUUGUGGAUUGUAGCGCAUGGGGAGCCUCACGAUUGUUGUGGUUACUUUUUACACAAACUCAUUGUAGCACAAGUUGUAUGUAUAGCUUGUGAUACAUGGUGAUGCAUCUUUUCAAGGUUAAUUGUGCGUCCCAUUUAUUGAUGCUUUGACGGGUGUCUAAUUUAGUGGUUUACAUUGAAGGUGCAUAACAUUAAAUAAGAUAUGAUUAGGCUUAAGAUAUAAGAAGAAUAAUGAUUAUAUAUUGAACUUAAAUACACAUGGUUUGUCGCUUUUAUAAAGAAUGGAGUUAUGAGACUAGGUGAAAUAUGCCCCGCGGGACAAAAUUGACUACGCAUUUUGUGUAUUCAGGGUUUAGAAGUCCAUUGUGUGUGCAUGUUUGAUACGAGAUAUGUUGCUCAUAUGAGAAGAACUAUAUCUCCAAAGCUAUAUUUAGUUUAAAUUAAGAUUUGAGCUACAUUAUUGCACUCAUUCAUUUUAUUGGCAUAAUUAUGGCCUAACUAGGGUGACUGAGAAUUUUUUUUCUAUGAUUAUACGUGCGUUGCACGUGCAUACUUACUAGUUGUUUAAGAAGCUGAUAUGCUGCAGCAUACUGUACUUGAUAAUUUGAAUAGUCCAACAUAAUUAUUUGUUUGCUUUCAGUCACUUAAUCUGCAGCAGAAGGGAAGAAAAAUACAGGACAAGAGCAGAAGGUACUGGAAGGACAUGGGACACACAUAGACUAUGGGGACAAACCGAAAUUGCUAAUUGCGAUACUUAUUUCCUGAACAGACAUUCACAUUCAUUGGUGUGGCAGUUAGUCAUAACUAAAAUGCACGGACAUAGCAAAUAUUAGUGUUCCGCGGUAAUAGACACUUGCAGCCCCAUGCUGUAAUUGUAACUGAGCACAGAUAUAACAAAAUAUUAUAGAUUAGAUAUUUAUUUAGGAAUCAAUGAAGAACAAGCAAGUUAACUUCUUCCCAUGCCUUAUGCUCUGGAAGCAAACUAGGGAUGCGUUGCUCCCAGUAGGGUUCAGCAAAGAAGUUUACAACUAAUCCCAGCAGGAUAGAUCCAUACAAAAUACAUGACUCGCUGAGAUAUGAGAACAAGCCAAACUUACCAGCGCACCCUUUCCAACCGCGAAGGCGAGUCGAUACGCCUCCCUGGUUGGCAUCCGCGCCCCUCCUCCUUCUCCGGCCGGCGACACACAGUUGAGUUCCUCCUUCUGCGGCUUCCUCGCAAUGAGGGCUCGCCUCCUCCUGAGGCUUCCUCAUGAACUGGGUGGAUAAGGAAUCAGCAAAUGGUGGAUCUCGCCGAAAGAAGCGGCAUAGGUUUUGGGGCUGCGGGGGGAGGAAGGACCAGAGGUGGGUGGUGGCGCGGCGGCUGUAUUGACGAUGGAGGCGACCCGAUCUGCCUCCCUGGCUGGCAUCCGCACCUCUCCUCCUUCUCUGGCCGGCGACGCCCGGUUGAGCUCCUCCUGUGGCUUCCUCACGACGAGCACUCACCUCCUGGCUGCGGGGUGGGGGGAGGACUGUAGGAGGGUGGUGGCGCGUGGCUGUAUUGAUGAGGAAUGGAGGAGCGGGGAGGAGAGAGGGG
rnacentral:lncRNA from 1 species